AUUGAACGCUGGCGGCAGGCUUAACACAUGCAAGUCGAGCGGAGAUGAGGUGCUUGCACCUUAUCUUAGCGGCGGACGGGUGAGUAAUGCUUAGGAAUCUGCCUAUUAGUGGGGGACAACAUUCCGAAAGGAAUGCUAAUACCGCAUACGUCCUACGGGAGAAAGCAGGGGACCUUCGGGCCUUGCGCUAAUAGAUGAGCCUAAGUCGGAUUAGCUAGUUGGUGGGGUAAAGGCCUACCAAGGCGACGAUCUGUAGCGGGUCUGAGAGGAUGAUCCGCCAAACGGGGACUGAGACACGGCCCAGACUCCUACAGGAGGCAGCAGUGGGGAAUAUUGGAAAAUGGGCGGAAGCCUGAUCCAGCCAUGCCGCGUGUGUGAAGAAGGCCUUUUGGUUGUAAAGCACUUUAAGCGAGGAGGAGGCUACUAGUACUAAUACUACUGGAUAGUGGACGUUACUCGCAGAAUAAGCACCGGCUAACUCUGUGCCAGCCGCCGCAGUAACAC
rnacentral:rRNA from 1 species